rnacentral:rRNA from 1 species
UAGGGAAUAUUCCACAAUGAGCGAAAGCUUGAUGGAGCGACACAGCGUGCACGAUGAAGGCCCUCGGGUUGUAAAGUGCUGUUGCAAGGGAAGAACACUUAGUUGAGGAAAUGCAACUAAGCUGACGGUACCUUGUUAGAAAGCGAUGGCUAACUAUGUGCCAGCAGCCGCGGUAAUACAUAGGUCGCAAGCGUUAUCCGGAAUUAUUGGGCGUAAAGCGUUCGUAGGCUGUUUAUUAAGUCUGGAGUCAAAUCCCAGGGCUCAACCCUGGCUCGCUUUGGAUACUGGUAAACUAGAGUUGGAUAGAGGUAAGCGGAAUUCCAUGUGAAGCGGUGAAAUGCGUAGAUAUAUGGAAGAACACCAAAGGCGAAGGCAGCUUACUGGGUCUAUACUGACGCUGAGGGACGAAAGCGUGGGGAGCAAACAGGAUUAGAUACCCUGGUAGUCCACGCCGUAAACGAUGAUCAUUAGUCGGUGGGAGCCACUGACGCAGCUNACGCAUUAAAUGAUCCGCCUGAGUAGUAUGCUCGCAAGAGU